AGAAAAAUGUCUGAUUAAAGUAAUAAAUUGUAAAUUUAUUUAAAAAAUUUUUAAAUUUUUUUUUCUA
rnacentral:tRNA from 1 species